rnacentral:rRNA from 1 species
GAGUUUGAUCGUGGCUCAGAUUGAACGCUGGCGGCAGGCUUAACACAUGCAAGUCGAGCGGAAACGAUGUAGCUUGCUACAGGCGUCGAGCGGCGGACGGGUGAGUAACGCGUAGGAAUCUGCCUAGUAGUGGGGGACAACAUGUGGAAACGCAUGCUAAUACCGCAUACGCCCUACGGGGGAAGGAGGGGAUCUUCGGACCUUUCGCUAUUAGAUGAGCCUGCGUAAGAUUAGCUAGUUGGUAGGGUGAAGGCCUACCAAGGCGACGAUCUUUAACUGGUCUGAGAGGAUGGCCAGUCACACUGGGACUGAGACACGGCCCAGACUCCUACGGGAGGCAGCAGUGGGGAAUAUUGGACAAUGGGCGCAAGCCUGAUCCAGCCAUGCCGCGUGUGUGAAGAAGGCCUUAGGGUUGUAAAGCACUUUCAGGGUGAGGAAGGGUGCUUGGUUAAUAUCAAACAUUUUGACGUUAGCCCAGAAGAAGCACCGGCUAACUCUGUGCCAGCCGCCGACGG